ACGAACGCUGGCGGCUGCUUAACACAUGCAAGUCGAACGGAGUGGCGAACGGGUGAGUAACGCGUGAGCAACCUGCCUAUGACAGUGGGAUAGCCUCGGGAAACCGGGAUUAAUACCGCAUAGUCAUAGAUGGGCUCGCGUCUGAUUAGCUAGUUGGUGAGAUAACAGCCCACCAAGGCGACGAUCAGUAGCCGGUCUGAGAGGAUGAACGGCAACAUUGGAACUGAGACACGGUCCAAACUCCUACGGGAGGCAGCAGUGGGGAAUAUUGCACAAUGGGAGAAACCCUGAGGGAGAGACGCCGCGUGAACUAAGAAGGUAUUCGUAUCGUAAAGUUCUGACCGAUGGGAAGCAGUACGAUAGAAGAAAGCUCCAGCUAAAUACGUGCCAGCCGCCGCGGUAAUUC
rnacentral:rRNA from 1 species